GUGGAUUAGAUACCCUGGUAGUCCACGCCGUAAACGAUGUCGACUAGCCGUUGGAGACCUUAGAGUCUUUAGUGGCGCAGCUAACGCACUAAGUCGACCGCCUGGGGAGUACGGCCGCAAGGUUAAAACUCAAAUGAAUUGACGGGGGCCCGCACAAGCGGUGGAGCAUGUGGUUUAAUUCGAUGCAACGCGAAGAACCUUACCGCCCCUUGACAUCCUGGGAACUCGCUAGAGAUAGCUUGGUGCCGAAAGGAACCCAGAGACAGGUGCUGCAUGGCCGUCGACAGCU
rnacentral:rRNA from 1 species